AACGAACGCUGGCGGCAGGCCUAACACAUGCAAGUCGAACGCUCCGCAAGGGGAGUGGCGCACGGGUGAGUAACACGUGGGAACCUACCUUCUGGUACGGAACAACCAAGGGAAACUCUGGCUGAUACCGUAUACGACCUCCGGGUGAAAGAUUGAUCGCCGGAAGAGGGGCCCGCGUCCGAUUAGGUAGUUGGUGAGGUAACGGCUCACCAAGCCUGCGAUCGGUAGCUGGUCUGAGAGGANGACCAGCCACACUGGGACUGAGACACGGCCCAGACUCCUACGGGAGGCAGCAGUGGGGAAUAUUGGACAAUGGGCGCAAGCCUGAUCCAGCCAUGCCGCGUGAGUGAUGAAGGCCUUCGGUUG
rnacentral:rRNA from 1 species